GUGUCACUUCUUCAGCGAGGUUAAGUUACAGUACUUGGAUGGUUUUUUAUUAAAAUAAUAAUAACUAAAAUGAAAUGUUCUUGAAUUAGGUAUAAUUUUUAAUAAUUUUAUGAACAUGAUAAAAAAAAUCACUUAGACCUCUGUCCCAACCCAAACAUUAUGCAACAAACUGCAUGCAAUGAAGGAAAUCUUUAGGAAACUAUUAACCUUGAAGAAAAUUAACUUCUCAACUGAGAGUCACUUUUAUGUGGGAUCAGUGAAGAUAUUAUUAUUUACUUUAUUUAUUCAAGAACUUAUCAUCCUUCUUUAUAUUUAUUGAAGGUCCUUUUCAUGUGAAUUCAGAAGUUUUCGGAAUGAGAUAUGUGUCAUUAGACCUGUUGGUGCUUUCUAGAAUAUCCACACACUAUGGCUGAGGAUGUUGUGACUGUCAAGAGGAGCUUCUUUGAGGAAGAUGGGAGAUGUACAAAGGUGCAUAUCAAGCACCUCACUUUGCCUUGCCAGUGACCAAAUAGAUGGUUGACUAGAGUAUCUGAAGACUUUUUAAGGAGUUGAAUGUCAUACAGACCUCUGCCUAUGGCUGCUAAACUAAAGCUUGACAGUUUUAUGUGAAGAAUUAAAAAAUAUAGGAGUAUUUUAAAAAAGUUUUAACUGUAAAUGGAAGUAACUUUUCUCUAUUUCUAUCUGGAUUUAAAAAAUGUUUCCACAAAUGUACCGGUAAGGGUACAUGAAGUAGUCAAAAAGUAACAGAUGUAAACUGUACAUCUAAAAGAUUAAGGCUAUGUUAUUGAAAUAAUCUUGAUUCUAAAAUUGUUGAAAAGUCUGUGUCCAUUUUAU